rnacentral:rRNA from 1 species
UAUGUAGGGUGCGAGCGUUGUCCGGAAUUAUUGGGCGUAAAGGGCUCGUAGGCGGUUUGUCGCGUCGGGAGUGAAAACACCGGGCUUAACUCGGUGCUUGCUUUCGAUACGGGCAGACUAGAGGUAUGCAGGGGAGAACGGAAUUCCUGGUGUAGCGGUGAAAUGCGCAGAUAUCAGGAGGAACACCGGUGGCGAAGGCGGUUCUCUGGGCAUUACCUGACGCUGAGGAGCGAAAGUGUGGGGAGCGAACAGG